rnacentral:rRNA from 1 species
UACGAAAGGAGUGAGCGUUAUUCAUAAUGAUUGGGCGUAAAGGGUUCGUAGAUCGAUAAUUUAAUCUUUGGUGAAAUCUUAAUUAAAAUUAAAAGUGCCUUAGCUAUUAAUUAUCUAGAGGGAAUUAGAGGAUAACAGAAUUCUAUAUUUGAGGAGUAAAAUCCGUUGACCUAUGGAGGAAUGCCAGAGGGGAAAGCGGGUAUCUGGGAUAUCACUGAGAUUGAGGAGCGAAAGCGUGGGGAGCAAACAGGAUUAGAUACCCUGGUAGUCCACGCUGUCAAAGAUGAGUGCUAACAUUUGGUAUAAGUCAGAUGUAAAGUUAACACGUUAAGCACUCCGCCUGGGGAGUACGAUCGCAAGAUUGGAACUCAAAGGAAUUGACGGGGAUCUACACAAGUGGUGGAGCAUGUGGUUUAAUGCGAUAGUACACGCGAAACCUUACCAGUUCUUGAAUACAAUUAAAGUAUUGUUAAUAGCAAUAGUCUUAUAAAAAAAUGUAUCUCAGUUUUUACAUCUUUAAUAUUUUUGUACAGGUGUUGCAUGGCCGUCGUCAGCUCGUGCCGUGAGGUGUUUGGUUCAGUCCUUUAACGAGCGCAACUCUUAUAUCAAUGUUCGAAACACUUUUGCUAUGUAAAAAUAGUUUUAGUGUAAGUCAUUAUAAACAGCUAGUGACAAACUAGAGGAAGGCGAGAACGACGUCAAGUCCUUAUGGCCCUUAUGAACUGGGCUACACACGUGCUACAAAGAUAAUUACAAAAAGUUAUACAAUAAAGUGAUUUUGAGUCAAUCUUCAAAAAUUAUCGUGUACAGAUUGUAGACUGCAACUCGUCUACAUGAAGGUGGAAUCACAAGUAAUCGUAAAUCAGCAAGUUACGGUGAAUUUUGUACUUAGAUCU